ensembl:misc_RNA
GAGAGACAACAGAUUUACAUCCCAGACACAUUCACACUGGGCCAAGAGCAGCUGCCAUUGCAGAUUCCAGUCACGUCCUUUUUUUCCCUCCUUCUCCUUCUUGGAGUUACAACAGAAGCUGGAGAGGUGAGAGUGCUG